rnacentral:rRNA from 1 species
GAUCCUGGCUACAGAACGAACGCUGGCGGCGCGUUUAAGCAUGCAAGUCGAGCGGCAAGGGCCUUCGGGCCCUAGAGCGGCGGACGGGUGAGUAACACGUGGACAAUCUGCCCCCCGGCCCGGGAUAGCCCAGGGAACCUGGAUUGAUACCGGAUGAGACGGGACCCGCGAAGGCGGGACCCGGGAAAGGCGCUGCGGCGUCCGCCGGGGGAUGAGUCUGCGUCCCAUUAGCUAGACGGCGGGGUAACGGCCCACCGUGGCGACGAUGGGUAGCCGGCCUGAGAGGGUGGACGGCCACAUUGGAACUGAGACACGGUCCAGACUCCUACGGGAGGCAGCAGCUAAGAAUCUUCCGCAAUGGGCGAAAGCCUGACGGAGCCGACGCCGCGUGAACGAAGAAGGCCGUGAGGUUGUAAAGUUCUUUUCGGGAGGGGGAACAACCGUGGCAGGGAAUGGCCGCGGGAUGACGUGAAUCCCGGAAUAAGCCCCGGCUAACUACGUGCCAGCCGCAGC